GGACAGGAAGUAGGAGCUGGCAUUUCAAGGUGAGUCUGUCUGGCCUGACUUUUGGAGCACAGGAAGAAGCCUGAAGCCUGGAUCAGAGCUGAUAACAGGACACCUGGGAAGACUCAGGAGUAAGGAUCAUGAGGAGAUGGAAGGCCUGAAGUCAAAAGUAUCAAUGCUCCUCUUUGCACUGGAGGUUCUCCACAGCACAAUUGGGAGAUCAGACCAGCAACAGAAUGUGGAAACUGCAUUGCAUGGGCACAGAUGGAAGGCACUCUCCUGACCUACAGCAGACCUCCCUCAAGGGAUAUGUUUUAAAUAAACUUUUUUUAUUUGGUA